UACGGAAGGCAGCAGUGGGGAAUAUUGCACAAUGGGCGAAAGCCUGAUGCAGCUAUGCCGCGUGUAUGAAGAAGGCCUUAGGGUUGUAAAGUACUUUCAUCGGGGAGGAAAAACAAAACUAAUAAUUUUAUUUCUUGACGUUACCCGAAAAAGAAGCACCGGCUAACUCCGUGCCAGCAGCCGCGGUAAUACGGAGGGUGCUAGCGUUAAUCAGAAUUACUGGGCGUAAAGAGCACGUAGGUGGUUUUUUUAAAGUCAGAUGUGAAAUCCCUGGGCUUAACCUAGGAACUGCAUUUUGAAACUGAAAUACUAGAGUAUCGUAGAGGGAGGUAGAAUUCUAGGUGUAGCGGUGAAAUGCGUAGAUAUCUGGAGGAAUACCUGUGGCGAAAGCGGCCUCCUAAACGAAUACUGACACUGAGGUGCGAAAGCGUGGGGAGCAAACGAGGAUUAGAUACC
rnacentral:rRNA from 1 species